CAUGAAAAAUGUCAACACAUAUCGCCAAAUAUACCCCGAGGAACAAAAUUACUUCAGGUGGUGGAGAACGGAGCGGAGCGCAGGUUGCCUCGGGGAUGGGAAGGAUACAAAGAAAGCAAGGUAGAAAAGGACGUCAUAGAUGACACCCCGGGACCAAACGCUCCUCUGUCUUCCCUCCACAGUGGACAAGGCUGGGUGUGGCUCUCCCCACCAGCUCCUUCUGUCAGGGGUAAAACAGAAACCUAGCCAGAUUCACAAUUGCCUGAAGAGCUGUGAUCCAAGUUAAAUAUGAGUGUGAAGAUGACUGUAAUGAGCAGAGGAGAAAUGCUUUUUAGACAUGUAAAAGUAGCUUAGUUGGGAUCCCCACUAAAAAAGCUGCAUCUAAUAACCAGAUCCCAAUGACAUCACUCACUUCAGAUGACUGGACACAGUCCUAGAACCCCACGAUGCCCACUAGACAGUAUAUAAGCAGAGACCAUGAGCAAUGCUAUGCUCUUGGUCUUCUGGAUCGACAUCACCUUGAUCUGCCUUGUGACUGGGGAGUCUACCCCAGGAUGCUGACCCUUCAAUCAGAGAUUUGUGUUAGAGACUGGACCUGACCUUCAGCUAAGAUAUGGCACACAGAUGAGCAGCCUUGGAGAGACAGGGUUAGGAAUUUAAAGUGUGAACCUUGUGUGAUAACCC
rnacentral:lncRNA from 1 species